GCUUUCCUACGGGGGGCAGGAGUCGGGAAUAUUGCGCAAUGGAGGAAACUCUGACGCAGUGACGCCGCGUAUAGGACGAAGGUCUUCGGAUUGUAAACUAUUGUCGUUAGGGAAGAGAAAGGACAGUACCUAAGGAGGAAGCUCCGGCUAACUACGUGCCAGCAGCCGCGGUAAUACGUAGGGAGCAAGCGUUGUCCGGAAUUACUGGGUGUAAAGGGAGCGUAGGCGGGCGAGAAAGUUGAAUGUUAAAUCUACCGGCUUAACUGGUAGCUGCGUUCAAAACUUCUUGUCUUGAGUGAAGUAGA
rnacentral:rRNA from 1 species